AUUUUAAAUAGUCUCUAUUCUUUUUUUAAACCUUUACCUUCUAUCUUAAAAUUAAUGUUAGUAUUACAUGUUACAUAAGGUACGCACAUAAUACACAUAUUACGCAUUACACAUUACAAGGCAGAAGAUCUAGACAAUUGAGGUUAAGUGACUUGCCCUGAGUCACAUAACUAGAAAGUGUCUAAGGCCAGAAUUGGACCCAGAACCUACCAUCAGUAUGCCUGGAUUUCAUUGAGCCACCUAGCUUUCCCCUUUGGUCCAUUUUUUCCAUGAAUGCUAGUAAUCUGGUAUAGUGUAUGGAUCCUUACUGUGAAUUUUAAAAGUCUCCAUCUUGGUCUAGCACCCAAAAAUUGUGCACACCCACACUACACGGGCAUGUGCUAGUCAAUGACAAAUCAGAAAUAACUAACUGCCCACCUGGGCUGUCCUAAGCCAAGCUAGAGCCAACCAUUGGCACUUGUGAGACACAGGAAGUGAGGUAGGGAACAGCCUCUGGAAUUUGCUCACUUCCUGUGGAGAGAGUUGGUGUUAGGAGCUUGGACAGGGAGGACCCCCCGCAGACAGCUUUCCUUCAGAUCACUCACGUCAUGAACUCCCUGAAAAUCUAUCCAUGGAUCCCCUAGGCAUUAGGGUUCAUGGAUCACAGACUCUUCAUGACCCCAGAUGGAGUUUUUCCUGGCAGACACUUUUUCCUUUUCCAGUUCAUUUUAUAGAUGAGGAAACUGAGGCAAAGAAGUGACUUGCCCAGGGUCAUGCAGCUAGUAAAUGCCAAAUUUGAAUUUGGGAAGAUAAGUCUUCUUGACUCCAGGCUUAGCUUUCUAUCCACUGG
rnacentral:lncRNA from 1 species